rnacentral:rRNA from 1 species
AGGAUGAAGGUCUUCGGAUUGUAAACUCCUGUCAGGUGGGAAGAAAGAUUCUCUUUUAAUAGAAGAGAGUUAUGACGGUACCAUCAGAGGAAGCACCGGCUAAUCUCGUGCCAGCAGCCGCGGUAAUACGAGAGGUGCAAGCGUUAUUCGGAAUUAUUGGGCGUAAAGGGUGCGUAGGCGGUUUGUUAAGUUUGUUGUUAAAUACUUUGGCCUAACUGAAGAACAGCAACGAAAACUGGCAAACUAGAGGGUGAAAGAGAGAAGUGGAAUUCCCGGAGUAGCGGUAAAAUGCGUAGAUCUCGGGAGGAACACCAAUGGCGAAGGCUGCUUCUUGGUUCACUACUGACGCUGAGGCACGAAAGCGUGGGGAGCAAACAGGAUUAGAUACCCUGGUAGUCCACGCUGUAAACGAUGAUCACUAGAUGUCGGUCUGAUUUUUCGGAUCGGUGUCGUAGCUAACGCGUUAAGUGAUUCGCCUGGGGAUUACGGCCGCAAGGCUA